rnacentral:rRNA from 1 species
GUUCUCAGUUCGGACUGCAGUCUGCAACUCGACUGCACGAAGCUGGAAUCGCUAGUAAUCGCGGAUCAGCACGCCGCGGUGAAUACGUUCCCGGGCCUUGUACACACCGCCCGUCACACCAUGGAAGUCUGCAAUGCCCGAAGCCGGUGGCCUAACCACUUAUGUGGAAGGAGCCGUCUAAGGCAGGGCAGAUGACUGGGGUGAAGUCGUAACAAGGUAAC